rnacentral:rRNA from 1 species
AUGGAUUCUGGCAAUGCAACGAAGUUGGGUCCUCAUAUCGAUCCGAAUGAAUCGGUCUUUCUAUGUGCUCCAGUCAAUGCCAAAUCGGCCGCUGCUCGGCUCCUUCCAUGUUGCCGCAGGGCUGAUUCGAGAGGGAGACACAAGAAGGAUAGGGAUGUGGCGGCUGUAAUGGAGAGAGAAGGCAGGGGAGAGCGGCGGCGGCUGUGUCAACGGGAGAGAGAGGGGAGCAUGUUGUGGCCAUCUCCAGGUCAAAGGACGACGAACACACCAUCCAGAGUGACAAAAUCAUGCCGGCAUCGUCUAUAA